GGCCUGUUGGUCUAGUGGCAUGAUUCUCGCUUUGGGUGCGUGCGAGAGGUCCCGGGUUCGACUCCCGGACAGGCCC